AUCACUGGUCAAGUAGCAAAGCCAUUACAAGUGUUCACAUAAAUUGAUCUGCGCAAAAUAAUUCUGCCUAAUUGACAUUUUGAUAAUCACAAGUACAUAAUUGUGAUGGGCCUAUGCCCUUUGAUAUCAUAUGCACGUCAAAUGUUAAGGCAUUACUAAUGAAUAUAAGUUGUCACGGUCUACUGUGUGCUAAUAAUUGGUCAGAGAUUUAUCCAGUCGAUACAGAUUGGGACUUCUGUCGGGGUGGAAUUCGAAGCCAAAUCUUCAUCAUGUCAUAUGCAGUAAAGCCAAUAGCCACAGAGGGAACAAUCUUGAUGUAAUUAAUGCUCAGGCCUGCAAAUAACUGUCUCCAUCCUUGAUUGCGGACUAUAGUCGAUAGACCAUCCAAUGUGCUCCUGUAUUUAACAUGACCUUGAAUUGAAGGUUGCAAA
rnacentral:misc_RNA from 1 species